rnacentral:lncRNA from 1 species
CUAAGAAAUAGAGAGAAAUACUAUUGUGUUUAGAGACCAAGAAUUUUGGUUCAUGUUAUUCUGAAUAUGGAUUGAUUGUGUUCCCUAACAUAAAGUACAGAAUAAAUAUGCUAUCAUCCACAGACCCAAAGAAGCUAAGUAACAAGGAGGAGCUAAGGGAGAAUGCUUGAAUCCCACUGAGAAGGAGGGAAAGUAGACAUUGGAGGCCAAUCUUCUUAAUCAUCACUCGUUCGCACUCCCAUUGUAAAGUGGCACAUCUCCUCGGAGAAGAAACAAAGCUAAAGGGACCAGCAUCACUCGUACGCACUCCCAUUGUACAGUGGCACAUCUCCUCGGAGAAGAAACAAAGCUAAAGGGACCAGCAUUCACGCACUCCCUGUCCAUUUCAGAACCUGCUGGACCACUUCUCAAUCAAUUUCCCAGGAAGGGAGAAAUCACCCCCAAGCUGUGGACUUUCAACUUCUGAGCUCUGCCCCAGGAAAUAUCCCGGGCAACGGCAAGAUAUAAGGAUACCUUGUCUCCAGGCAACCUGGCUCCCAUUUAGCACACAGCUUCAUAAAGCUUAACGAGGACUGGCUAUCUCCUCCACUCGGGGAGCGACUAGGCUCAGUGGGAACAGGGUGUUCUGGGUUUUGUACCGUGUGAAUGGGGAGAACAUAAACCCGUGUGAUUCUUACAAUCUGCCAGAAGCAUGCACUGCGCCUCAAUGGAAACUUCUGGCAACUGUACUCAUCUUCUACAGAAUUAAAAGCUAAUAAGGUGUCUGAUGCCUCGGGAAGUACUUUGAAAUAACUUCCCUAGCCAGAAGAUCUU